GGCGGAGUAGCUCAGCGGUAGAGCAGCGGAAUCAUAAUCCGUUGGUCGGGGGUUCGAAUCCCUCCUCCGCUACCA
rnacentral:tRNA from 1 species